CAGUAGCGUAUAUUAAAGUUGUUGCAGUUAAAAAGCUCGUAGUUGGAUUUCUGGCAGGAGCGACCGGUCACACACUCUGUGUGUGAACUUGCGUUGUCUCUGGCCAUCCUUGGGAAGAUCCUGUUUGGCAUUAAGUUGUCGGGCAGGGGAUACCCAUCGUUUACUGUGAAAAAAUUAGAGUGUUUAAAGCAGGCUUAUGCCGUUGAAUAUAUUAGCAUGGAAUAAUAAGAUAGGACUUCGGAACUAUUUUGUUGGUUUGCGUUACGAAGUAAUGAUUAAUAGGGACAGUUGGGGGUAUUCGUAUUUCGUUGUCAGAGGUGAAAUUCUUGGAUUUCCGAAAGACGAACUACUGCGAAAGCAUCUACCAAGGAUGUUUUCAUUAA
rnacentral:rRNA from 1 species